CGUGAUUGUGAAGGUAUUGGUAAUAGUGUUAUCUGUUUUGCCUUAGUGUUGUAGUGGUAAUAAUGGUGAUUACUGGGGAUCCGUGCGUGGAUAGCAAUGUAGAACAGGUAUUGCGUCAUUAGGUAAAGGAAUAAGAUUAAGUCACGCACGUUUAUACUCGUAUUUUUGUCUGUUUUGAAAUGCAAAAACGGGAAGGUGGUGGAAGUGCAGACAUGAUUCAAUUUUUUGUCGAGCCUUUUAUAACAUCAAGGCGGCAAGGAAGAUGGUGAGUGAUAGUGGAAAGAAAUCAGUGAUUAUCAGGAAGGCUAGACAAUCCUGCAUCCUGUGGAAAACUGGAAAUCUUCAGCACUUCAUAACGACUAACAGGUGGUCAUUCUUGUCAGUGGCCUGCUGUACCAGAAUCAGCAUCUGGAAGCACCACAGUGGAAAGGACGUUACGUGUGGCAGUGACCUCGCCCGGAAUGACCUCGCGUGGCCUUCCUGUGAUCCCCCGGGGCUGAAUGACUACCGUGACCUGCCGCCUUGCCAAGGACGUCACGUGACUGGCAUCGAGCCGCAGCACGACACCGUGCUAAGCAAUCCCGUCACACCAAUGGAAAUGACAAUUUUCCCUGCACCCAGAUGUCUUGACAGAGAGAGAGAGAGAGAGAGAGAGAGAGAGAGAGAGAGAGAGAGAGAGAGAGAGAGAGAGAGAGAGAGAGAGAGAGAGAGAGAGAGAGAGAGAGAGAGAGA